UACGUAGGGGGCGAGCGUUAUCCGGAUUCAUUGGGCGUAAAGGGCGCGCAGGCGGCCACGAGCAGUGGCACGUGGAAUCUCCUCGCUUACCGGGGAGGGGUCGUGCCAGACGGCGUGGCUGGAGGCAGGCAGAGGCGCGCGGAACGGGCGGAGUAGGGGUGAAAUCCGUAGAGACCGUCCGGAACACCAGUGGCGCAGGCGGCGCGCUGGGCCUGGGUUUUCCCGCAAGGGGGACCGUCCGCAAGGACCCUGACGCUCAGGCGCGAAAGCGUGGGGAGCGAACGGA
rnacentral:rRNA from 1 species